AACCGCCGGAUGCGGGCCCGCAUGUCCGGUGGUGUGGGAGGGGCCAGGGCAACCCUGGCCCCUACCCGAU
rnacentral:autocatalytically_spliced_intron from 1 species